UACAGAGGGUGCGAGCGUUAAUCGGAAUUACUGGGCGUAAAGCGCACGUAGGUGGCGACGUAAGUCGGGUGUGAAAGCCCCGGGCUCAACCUGGGAAUUGCACUCGAGACUGCAUUGCUGGAGUACGGAAGAGGAAGGCGGAAUUCCCGGUGUAGCGGUGAAAUGCGUAGAUAUCGGGAGGAACAUCAGUGGCGAAGGCGGCCUUCUGGUCCAGUACUGACACUCAAGUGCGAAAGCGUGGGGAGCAAACAGG
rnacentral:rRNA from 1 species